rnacentral:rRNA from 1 species
AGUGAACGCUGGCGGUAGGCCUAACACAUGCAAGUCGAACGGCAGCACAGUAAGAGCUUGCUCUUACGGGUGGCGAGUGGCGGACGUGUGAGGAAUACAUCGUAAUCUACUUUUUCGUGGGGGAUAACGUAGGGAAACUUACGCUAAUACCGCAUACGACCUACGGGUGAAAGCAGGGGAUCUUCGGACCUUUCGCGAUUGAAUGAGCCGAUGUCGGAUUAGCUAGUUGGCGGGGUAAAGGCCCACCAAGUCGACGAUCCGUAGCUGGUCUGAGAGGAUGAUAAGCCACCUUGGAACGGAGACACGGUCAAGACUCCUACGGGAGGCAGCAGUGGGGAAUAUUGGACAAUGGGCGCAAGCCUGAUCCAGCCAUACCGAGUGGGUGAAGAAGGCCUUCGGGUUGUAAAGACCUUUUGUUGGGAAAGAACAGCAGCAGGUUAAUACCCCGCUGUUCUGACGGUAACCAAAGAAUAAGCACCGGCUAACUUCGUG